GAGUUUGAUCAUGGCUCAGAUUGAACGCUGGCGGCAGGCCUAACACAUGCAAGUCGAGCGGAUGAAGGGAGCUUGCUCCUGGAUUCAGCGGCGGACGGGUGAGUAAUGCCUAGGAAUCUGCCUGGUAGUGGGGGAUAACGUCCGGAAACGGGCGCUAAUACCGCAUACGUCCUGAGGGAGAAAGUGGGGGAUCUUCGGACCUCACGCUAUCAGAUGAGCCUAGGUCGGAUUAGCUAGUUGGUGGGUAAAGGCCUACCAAGGCGACGAUCCGUAACUGGUCUGAGAGGAUGAUCAGUCACACUGGAACUGAGACACGGUCCAGACUCCUACGGGAGGCAGCAGUGGGGAAUAUUGGACAAUGGGCGAAAGCCUGAUCCAGCCAUGCCGCGUGUGUGAAGAAGGUCUUCGGAUUGUAAAGCACUUUAAGUU
rnacentral:rRNA from 1 species